CUGCAGCCAAUUAAGAUGCAGGGUUCAUUUGCUGGUGGGUGUCCACAGUUCAGCUGCAGAGAGCAACCUCAUGAACAGUGCAUGCAGCCUGCUGCUUAUAUGGGCUGUCCUAGGAAACCUUGGGGACACUC
ensembl:snoRNA SNORA70 Small nucleolar RNA SNORA70